rnacentral:rRNA from 1 species
UGUAAGCGUAUACCAAAGUUGUUGCAGUUAAAACGCUCGUAGUCGGAAUUUGGCAGUUCCGGAUGUGUGCACGUCGUGUGCGCACUUCGCGGGGAUUGCUUUUGUGGUCUUGCGUAGGAUGAGGCACUUUUAUUAGUGAACGUCCUCACGCAACCACUUUUUACUGUGAGAAAAUCAGAGUGCUCAAAGCAGGCAUUUGCCGUGAAUGUAUUAGCAUGGAAUAAUAGAAUAGGACUUGGUUCUAUUUUGUUGGUUCGUUGGGACUGAGUAAUGAUUAAGAGGGACAGUUGGGGGCAUUUGUAUUUCGGUGCUAGAGGUGAAAUUCUUAGAUUACCGAAAGACAAACUGCUGCGAAAGCGUCUGCCAAGGAUGUUUUCAUUGA